GAUGAACGCUGGCGGCGUGCUUAACACAUGCAAGUCGAACGAAGCACUUAAUGAGAUUUCUUCGGAUUGAUUAUUUUGUGACUGAGUGGCGGACGGGUGAGUAACGCGUGGGUAACCUGCCCCAGACCGGGGGAUAACAGUCGGAAACGACUGCUAAUACCGCAUAAGCGCACAGUGCCGCAUGGCACAGUGUGAAAAACUCCGGUGGUCUGGGAUGGACCCGCGUCCGAUUAGUUAGUUGGCGGGGUAACGGCCCACCAAGACCGCGAUCGGUAGCCGACCUGAGAGGGUGACCGGCCACAUUGGGACUGAGACACGGCCCAGACUCCUACGGGAGGCAGCAGUGGGGAAUAUUGCACAAUGGAGGAAACUCUGAUGCAGCGACGCCGCGUGAGCGAAGAAGUAUUUCGGUAUGUAAAGCUCUGUCAGCAGGGAAGAUAAUGACGGUACCUGACCAAGAAGCCCCGGCUAACUACGUGCCAGCAG
rnacentral:rRNA from 1 species